rnacentral:rRNA from 1 species
UGAGUACGAGAUGCUACGGCAUCGAAGCAGUCUAUGUCAUACUUCCAAGAAAAGCUUGCACUGUCAGAAACAGAUAAUGCCUGUACCAUAACCGACACAGGUGGGUAGGUAGAGUAUACUAAGGGGCGCGAGAUAACUCUCUCUAAGGAACUCGGCAAAAUGACUCCGUAACUUCGGGAGAAGGAGUGCCUUAUUUUUAAGGUUGCAAUAACAAGAUCCAAGCAACUGUUUACCAAAAACACAGGUCUCCGCUAAGUCGUAAGACGAUGUAUGGGGGCUGACGCCUGCCCAGUGCCAGAAGGUUAAAGAAGUCGGUUAGCAUUCGCGAAGCUGGUAACUGAAGCCCUGGUGAACGGCGGCCGUAACGAUAACGGUCCUAAGGUAGCGAAAUUCCUUGUCGGGUAAGUUCCGACCCGCACGAAAGGCGUAAUGAUUUGGAUACUGUCUCGGAGAGGGGCUCGGUGAAAUAGACUUGUCUGUGAAGAUGCGGACUACCUGCACCUGGACAGAAAGACCCUAUGAAGCUUUACUGUAACUUGAAAUUGAAAUUGGACUUUAUUUGCGCAGUAUAGGUGGGAGGCGUUGAAAAUAUUCUUGCGGGAAUAUUGGAGCCAUCAGUGAGAUACCACUCUUGUAAUGUUAGAUUUCUAACUUUAUAUCAUUAUCUGGUUAAAGAACAGUUUCAGGCGGGCAGUUUGACUGGGGCGGUCGCCUCCCAAAUGGUAACGGAGGCGCACAAAGGUUUCCUCUGAACGGGUAGAAAUCGUAUCUAGAGUGUAAAGGCAUAAGGAAGCUUGACUGUGAGACCUACAAGUCGAGCAGGGACGAAAGUCGGUCUUAGUGAUCUGACGGUGCUGAGUGGAAAGGCCGUCACUCAACGGAUAAAAGUUACUCUAGGAUAACAGGCUGAUCUCCCCCAAGAGUUCACAUCGACGGGGAGGUUUGGCACCUCGAUGUCGGCUCAUCGCAUCCUGGGGCGGUAGUACGUCCCAAGGGUUGGGCUGUUCGCCCAUGAAAGCGGUACGCGAGCUGGGUUCAGAACGUCGUGAGACAGUUCGGUCCAUAUCCGGUGUAGGCGUUAGAAUACUGAGAGGAGCCUUCUUUAGUACGAGAGGACCGAGAAGGACAUACCUCUGGUGUACCAGUUAUCGUGCCAACGGUAAACGCUGGGUAGCUAUGUAGCGAGUGGAUAACCGCUGAAAGCAUCUAAGUGGGAAGCCCACCUC